rnacentral:rRNA from 1 species
AAAGCGGGUGAAAAGCCCGCUCGCCGGAAGACCAAGGGUUCCUGUCCAACGUUAAUCGGGGCAGGGUGAGUCGACCCCUAAGGCGAGGCCGAAAGGCGUAGUCGAUGGGAAACAGGUUAAUAUUCCUGUACUUGGUGUUACUGCGAAGGGGGGACGGAGAAGGCUAUGUUAGCCGGGCGACGGUUGUCCCGGUUUAAGCAUGUAGGCUGGUUAUCCAGGCAAAUCCGGAUAAUCAAGGCUGAGGUGUGAUGACGAGGCACUACGGUGCUGAAGUAACAAAUGCCCUGCUUCCAGGAAAAGCCUCUAAGCAUCAGGUAACAUUAAAUCGUACCCCAAACCGACACAGGUGGUCAGGUAGAGAAUACCAAGGCGCUUGAGAGAACUCGGGUGAAGGAACUAGGCAAAAUGGUGCCGUAACUUCGGGAGAAGGCACGCUGGUGUGUAGGUGAAGUCCCUGCGGAUGGAGCUGAGACCAGUCGAAGAUACCAGCUGGCUGCAACUGUUUAUUAAAAACACAGCACUGUGCAAACACGAAAGUGGACGUAUACGGUGUGACGCCUGCCCGGUGCCGGAAGGUUAAUUGAUGGGGUUAUCCGUAAGGAGAAGCUCUUGAUCGAAGCCCCGGUAAACGGCGGCCGUAACUAUAACGGUCCUAAGGUAGCGAAAUUCCUUGUCGGGUAAGUUCCGACCUGCACGAAUGGCGUAAUGAUGGCCAGGCUGUCUCCACCCGAGACUCAGUGAAAUUGAACUCGCUGUGAAGAUGCAGUGUACCCGCGGCAAGACGGAAAGACCCCGUGAACCUUUACUAUAGCUUGACACUGAACAUUGAGCCUUGAUGUGUAGGAUAGGUGGGAGGCUUUGAAGCGUGGACGCCAGUCUGCGUGGAGCCAACCUUGAAAUACCACCCUUUAAUGUUUGAUGUUCUAACGUUGGCCCCUUAUCGGGGUUGCGGACAGUGUCUGGUGGGUAGUUUGACUGGGGCGGUCUCCUCCCAAAGCGUAACGGAGGAGCACGAAGGUUAGCUAAUCCUGGUCGGACAUCAGGAGGUUAGUGCAAUGGCAUAAGCUAGCUUGACUGCGAGCGUGACGGCGCGAGCAGGUGCGAAAGCAGGUCAUAGUGAUCCGGUGGUUCUGAAUGGAAGGGCCAUCGCUCAACGGAUAAAAGGUACUCCGGGGAUAACAGGCUGAUACCGCCCAAGAGUUCAUAUCGACGGCGGUGUUUGGCACCUCGAUGUCGGCUCAUCACAUCCUGGGGCUGAAGUAGGUCCCAAGGGUAUGGCUGUUCGCCAUUUAAAGUGGUACGCGAGCUGGGUUUAGAACGUCGUGAGACAGUUCGGUCCCUAUCUGCCGUGGGCGCUGGAGAAUUGAGGGGGGCUGCUCCUAGUACGAGAGGACCGGAGUGGACGCAUCACUGGUGUUCGGGUUGUCAUGCCAAUGGCACUGCCCGGUAGCUAAAUGCGGAAGAGAUAAGUGCUGAAAGCAUCUAAGCACGAAACUUGCCCCGAGAUGAGUUCUCCCUGAGACUUUAAGUCUCCUGAAGGAACGUUGAAGACGACGACGUUGAUAGGCCGGGUGUGUAAGCGCAGCGAUGCGUUGAGCUAACCGGUACUAAUGAACCGUGAGGCUUAACCUU